UCUCUCUCCUCUCUAUCCCAUGCCCAAGUGUUGGGCAUCCCACAUCUCCACACGCCCAAAGAAGUUAGGCAAUCUAGUUCUAUGUCAAGCAAGGAGAAAGGCUGCAAUUCAAAUGUUGAGAUCGCAGAGGAAGAUCAACUAUUGAUUAAUGAUCUGAAAGACUACGAUUCACCUUAAACAAGGUGAAUCUACAAUAAGA
rnacentral:lncRNA from 1 species